AUGACUGGUGACAAGAAUCUAUUGAUGGAUGCUCCCUUAUCUCCAUCGCAUCUGAAGCAUAUCAUCUUCGCUGACAAAGGCAAAAGUCAGGUAUUGGGUCUAGGUAAGGUUGCGAUCUCAAAGGAUCGACACAUGGACAAAGUCAUGCUUGUCGAGUCCUUAGGAUACAACCUCAUGUUUGUCUCAAUGUUUUGUGAUCUUGAUAUGGUUGUUGUCUUUGGCAAGUAUCGUUGUGUUGUGAUCAUGGAAGCUGACCAUUCCAAAGUCUUCGAAGGCUUUAGGAGAGGAGACUUGUAUAUUGUUGAUUUCUCUACAGGACCACAACCAGCCGUAUGCCUACUUGCAAAAGCUUCAGAAGGCUGGCUAUGGCAUCGACGACUUGGUCAUGCAGGCAUGAGGAAUUUGCGCACGCUUGCGAAGAAGAAGCAUGUCAUUGGCAUUGAGAAUGUCAAAUUCCUUAAGGAUCACUUAUGCGGAGCCUGUGAAGCUAGAAAGAUGACCAAGGCCAAACAUCCAGCGAAGACAAUCAUGACUACCACUCGACCAUUUGAAUUGCUUCAUAUGGAUCUCUUUGGUCCUAACCAUUAUUCUGCAGUUACAAAUGAUGCAUCUCUAUAUGGCUUUGUUAUUGUUGAUGAUUACUCUCGCAACACAUGGGUACAUAUUGUCACUUACAAACAUGAGGUGCAGGAAGUCUUCAAACGAUUUUCCUCGAGGGCUUCAACCAACUUUGGUGUGAAGAUCAGGCACAUCAAAAGUGAUAAUGGAACUGAGUUCAAGAAUUCUGGUCUUGAUGACUAUCUUGAUGAACUUGGUAUUACUCAUGAGUUAUCUGCUCCUUAUACUCCUCAGCAGAAUGGUGUCGUGGAGCACAAGAACAGGACUCUUGUUGAGAUGGCUCGCACUAUGCUUGAUGAAUACAAGACGCCUCGUCGUUUCUGGAUUGAGGCAAUUGAUACUGCUUGCCACAUCAUCAAUAGGGUAUAUCUUCACAAAUUCUUCAAGAAGACCGCUUAUGAACUCCUCACUGACAAGAAACACAAUGUGAGUUAUUUCAAAGUCUUCGGUGCUAAAUGUUGGAUUAGAGAUCCUCAUCACAACUCUAAAUUU
rnacentral:rRNA from 1 species